UACGUAGGGUGCGAGCGUUGUCCGGAAUUACUGGGCGUAAAGAGCUUGUAGGCGGUUCGUCGCGUCGAUCGUGAAAACCUACCGCUCAACGGUGGGCUUGCGGUCGAUACGGGCGGACUAGAGUACUUCAGGGGAGACUGGAAUUCCUGGUGUAGCGGUGAAAUGCGCAGAUAUCAGGAGGAACACCGGUGGCGAAGGCGGGUCUCUGGGAAGUAACUGACGCUGAGAAGCGAAAGCGUGGGGAGCGAACAGG
rnacentral:rRNA from 1 species